UGAAGAUGUAUUUGUGUUACAGACAAAAGACAAGUUCUGUUCCUCAGCAGGGACAAAUGAAGAACCAGAUGAGGGGAUAAACUGAGGUUCUUAUAGUACCAUGUUGGCGAUGUCCUAUGCGUGGCCCCACAGUUCUUCCUUUGGAAAAGGUGGUGGAAGGGAAUAUAAACAGAAUCAAAUAGGCCUUCCAGAAGAGACUGAAUGGAAACCAACCCACCAUCAUUUAGCCACAGUGAAAUCUGUAUGCUAGGAGACACUGAUGCUCUCCUAUGCCUGGAACUGACUCUUUGUCCCAGCUGCUUCUCUGAUAGCUCAACAGAUUUCAGUGACAAGAUCCUCAAAAAACUAAGUCCAGUAUCUCUCUCACUCUGAUGUGGUUCAUCCCCAAGCAAUGGUGAGCAAAAACAUGUAAUUACAUGAAAAGUUCAUGAAACUAAUCACUGCCUAACAAUCUUCUAACUACCAGCCUCAACAACAAGACAAUGAUCAAUGGAGGGAUAUUUAAUUUUUUAACAUUUUAUAUUCGGACACUGUAUAAUAACACAGACCAUAACCAUCAGGGAAGAAAACUGGCAAAAAUCACAACACAGGAAAAGCAGACUUUAGGGUAUACAGGCCUCAAGAUAACUCAUUAGGACAGUGACCUUAACACAAGCUACAAAGUAGGGAAAUCUCAGUAAAAUGCCAGCACAGAAAUAAGGAAGAUAUACUAAGGUCAAUAGGGAUAAAAGAUGCCUAUAGUUUCUACUACUAAUUAAGAACCAAGAAGCAGUAACACAUGCCCCUCACAUGUGGGGGAGAAGAGUAUAAACUACAUUUCAGUUUUCUGCUUAGUGCCUGAGUUUGGGUUUUGUUUUAAUACUUACUGAGCUGGAUGUUCUAUAACUUCCUAAAGUAUCAAGUUUUACUUCCCCCAAAUAUGCCAACGUUUGGGGAGAAAAAAUGAAAACAAAACAAUCCAAAUUAGCUACAUCAUUUAACACCAUAACUCUAAGCCCAGAGUUUUGAUAAAACUAACGUCCUAUGACCAUCACCUAUUAACUGAGCUGGCUUCCCAUCUAUUCCCUCUAUCUAUCUCUCGCUCCUUUCAAAGAUGAGUUUCUUACAUGCCAAGCCGAGUCCUGUCCUUCACCAAUAGGACUAACCCAAACACUACUCCUCUUAGGAGACAUGGAAAACUGACAGAGAGAGGGGGGAGAAAACAACAAUAACAACAACAACACCCAGUGUAGCACAAGACUGAAAACCUAGCUGGUGAUCAAUCAGAACCAACCAGGCAGAGGUUAUUUUAUCUGGGUUUUGUUUUGUUUGAGGGGGUGGGAGGUUUCUCAGCCCAUAGUCACCAUGAGGCUUAUAUGAGAAAAGGCAUGCCAUUCUAUCCUCAAAUAGUCCAAAGAGUUGGAGGGGACAAUUUACAGCCUCUUGUGUAAAAAAUGUCUAUAAAUGCCAGUGCCAUUCUUUGCCCUGUCACUUCCCAUUAUCCUAAACCAACAGGAUUCUAUUCACUGAGACUUGAGCUGGAAAC